rnacentral:rRNA from 1 species
UACAGAGGUCCCGAGCGUUGUUCGGAUUCAUUGGGCGUAAAGGGUGCGUAGGCGGCGGGGCCAGUCUGAUGUGAAAUCCUGGGGCUCAACCCCAGAACUGCAUUGGAUACUGCCUUGCUCGAGUACUGGAAAGGGAACUGGAAUUUACGGUGUAGCAGUGAAAUGCGUAGAGAUCGUAAGGAAGGCCAGUGGCGAAGGCGAGUUCCUGGACAGUGACUGACGCUGAGGCGCGAAAGCUGGGGUAGCAAACAGG